UACAGAGGUCCCAAGCGUUGUUCGGAUUCAUUGGGCGUAAAGGGUGCGUAGGCGGUUUGGUAAGUCUGAUGUGAAAUCUAUGGGCUCAACUCAUAGUCUGCAUCGGAAACUGCCGGGCUUGAGUGUGGGAGAGGUGAGUGGAAUUCCUGGUGUAGCGGUGAAAUGCGUAGAUAUCAGGAGGAACACCUGUGGCGAAAGCGGCUCACUGGACCAUAACUGACGCUGAUGCACGAAAGCUAGGGGAGCAAACAGG
rnacentral:rRNA from 1 species